UCCCCGCCACACACCCUGGCAACCGGAUUUUAAACCAGUGUCUACUCUUGUGUAUGCGUUCUUCCCAGGAGUUGUGGUCCCACCAGUCUGUCUUGGCUCUUUCCUGUCUACAGCUCUUAUCAUUUCUGCUCCUCCCUUCUAACUGGUUCUGAUCUGGUUCAGGGUGCUGGUCCCUGAGCACUUGGACCGGCCCCUGAAAUCAAUACUCGUGGUUCCGCGUGGGAACCCACCCCUGGUCCGCCCUCUCCCGGCUGAGGUGGCUACUGGGGCUGCGGCCGUUUCUGGGACUUCGAGUUGCUGCUGCACAGCUUUCUACCUUGCCGGACUGCCCCUAGUCAACUUCUGCAGAGACUGACCUAGAGACCGCAUCCUGCAAGUCAUAAGUGGAACUAUUUGUAAGCAGACUGGGUCCACUGAAAUCUGCCUAUGAAUAUAAUAGAAUUGUCUUUGCUGACCUCUUCAUUAUGAAUCUAAUUCUUUGGGUGGAAGAAUCAUUAGCUGCCAUCUCCUUUGAUGUCCAUGUCACCCAACCAGAUCCUGUGGCAGAUUCCUGAAUAGAGCUUCUUCACAAACCAUUUCUUGGCAUUGUAAUUGGUGGCAUUUUAUCCUUUGGCUGUAUUUUUAUUGAACUUUUUCAUUAUGAAAAGUAUUUGUGGCCUUCCAUGGGCAGUUUCAUUUAUAAUUCCUCUGCCAAAAUCAUUUUGAAGGCCAUUGAGUGGGUCGUCAUGUGUACUGAGCUGGACAGUUGGAUUUCCCCCCUCUUCUUGUUUAUGACUACAGUCUUCAGUGUGGCGAAAGUGGAUUAAAGAGUUUCCCCCAAAGGCUUCCAGGCAUAUCAUCCUUGCUUUUGAAUAUCUGUAUCAACAUCAAUAGAGAUAUAUGUGUACUCCUAAUUAUAUAAAUUUUAAUUAUAUAUAAAUGUAAAAUCUCA